AUGAUUCUCCAUUCUGUCAUUCUGAUUUCUGCCUUUGCAUAUGUAACAAAUGGAAAUGAAAUUAAACCAACCAAAACAGAGGUGUUUGCUGAUGAGGGUUCAAGUGUUAAAUUAUCCUGCAGUUAUUCAUCUGCAGACUAUCUUCACUGGUACCGUCAGUAUCCUGGAUCAGCUCCUGAGUUCAUUGUGCUCAUCUUUGACACUGAAAAACAAGCUCAGGAGUCUAAUGUAGAUUCCAGAUUUACUGCCAAAGUCACCAAAGACAAAGAAAACAAUGUGGAUCUGAUUAUUUCUUCUGCUGCUGUAUCAGACUCUGCUCUGUAUUACUGCGCUCUGCAGCCCACAGUGACAGGAAACACAAGAACACUGUACAAAAACCUGACAUAA